rnacentral:rRNA from 1 species
GCAGAACGCUGGCGGCGUGCUUACACACCGCAAGUUCAACGAUGAAGCUGGAGCUUGCUCCGGUGGAUUAGUGGCGAACGGGUGAGUACACGUGAGCAAUCUGCCCUUCACUCUGGGAUAACUACGGGAAACUGUAGCUAAUACCGGAUACGAUCCCUAGGGCAUCCCUGGGGAUGGAAAGAAUUUCGGUGAAGGAUGAGCUCGCUGGCCUAUCAGCUAGAUUGUGUGAGAGUAAAUGGCUCACCAAAGGCGACGACAGUGGUAGCCGGCCUGAGAGGGUAGACCUGGCCACACUGGAACUCGAGACACGGUCCAAGACUCCUACGGGAGGCAGCAGAUGGGGAAUAUUGCACAAUGGGCGAAAGCCUGAUAGCAGCAAACGCCGCGUGAGGGAUGAAGGCCUUCGGGUUGUAAACCUCUUAUUAGCAGGGAAGAACGGGUAACUGACGCGUACCUGCAGGAAAAAGCACCGGCUAACUACGUGCCAGCAGACCAGACGGUAAUCACGUAAGGUGCAAGCGUUGUCCGGAAUUAUUGGAGCGUAAACGAGCUCGAUAAGCCGUCUGUCAGCGUCUGACCUGUUGAAAAUCCAAUGCUCAAACAU